GACGGUGAAAUCAUGACCUGAGCCGAAGUCGGACACUUAACUGACUGAGCCACCCAGGCGCCCCUGAUGCGAGGUUUUCUAAUCCACAGGCUGUGGUCGGGUUUCACUAAUUGUCUCAGUGAUGGUCAUCACGGCUGCAUUUUUUUUCUGGUCCAGGAGCCAGUCUAGGAUCACCUGUUACAUUUAGUUGUCAGGUCUCCUUAGUUUCUUUUAACCUGAAACACUCCCUCAGUGUCUCAGGACUCAAAAAAGCAUGUUUAAGGAGUCAGGCAGGUUGCUUUGCAGAGUGUCCCCCAGCUAGAGCUCAUGUGCUAUUUCCUUGCCCUCAGAUUCAUAUUAUGCCUUUCUGGCAGGAACAGCACAGAAGUGAUGAGGAGCCCCACUCAGUGCCGUGAGCCAAGAGGCACCUGCUUCUGCUGUUUUGUCGUUACUGUUGUUGAUACUGAUGACCUGGGAGACGUGGGGGUCUCAUUUAGUUUGUCAACCUCGGUUUUCACGUCACCUCUUCAAAGGAAGCUUUCUUAGCCUCCCGCACCCCUCUUCCAGGCACCCACAGGUCUGGGGGCGCUGUUCCUAUAACACCAUUCUCAGUGACUCGAUCUAAUCCUGGUGGUUGUGUUCCUGUGUCCCCCACUCUGCUGCAAGCUCUGUGAGAGCAGGGACCACAUCUUGUUCACCAGGGCAGCCCCCGCUCCCAGUUCAGGGCCUGGCACGUAGUAGGUGUUUCAUACAUAAUGCUGAGUGAAUGAAAGAGUGUGUGAGACUAUCCUUGAACAGGUCCAGUCACAAAGCAAACCCCCACCCAGCUCUCUCCGGAUCAGGCUUUGUGGCUUUUUCUGCUUUACUCGUGGAGCAUGGCUAAGUUUUUUUUUAUUUCUUUUUAUGCCGGGUUCUCGCUGAAAGCAUGAAAGUCUUGACUAAAGCCCAAUAAAGAGGCACCAUGUUUAUCCUUCCCUUGGGGAAUCACAGGACGGACCGAUUUUAGAAACUUCGAACCCCAGUUUAAGAUUUUCCCAUUUGCUUCUUCUUGGCGUGUGGGAGGGUCAGGGUGGGGGAGAUUCUCUGGGUCUUUUCUCAUGUGAAAUAUUUGGACCUGAAAGAGCAGCACGAAGCAUCUUUGGUGGGCAGGGGGGCCCACAGCCCGGUGGCCUCUGUCCAGCCACACCAGCCAUGCACCGCACCCCGGGUCGGGAAGUGAUUCAAGGGCUGUCCCGAAGCCUCUCAGGAGGUCACUCUCUCCCUUUGUUGUUUCAGACGCAGGAGGAGGGAGACGCACUGAUGUUGUCAUCAGACCUCUCCCGAAGCUUCUGCCAUCUCAUGGUCUCCAGGGGCUGGGGCUACGGCUCCCCACAAGCCUGCUGCAAGGAAACCCCACCCCCCCGGACGUGCGGUUCCUGGAGACCGGCCAUCCUCUCUGCACCGUUUUGCUAUUUGUGAAACCUAGGACAGCACCACCCCCUCAGCUGGAUCCUCCCCUGGCUCCCGCGGAAAAGCCACCGCUGGGAAUGGCUGUGCGACCAGGGCUUUGUGGCUUUUGAAUAACGGCUGUCGUGCGUUGUUUCUGGGUGGACAUGUCCUAGUCCAUCAGGCCUCCCCUGCCAGCAGGGUAAGUUGCCAGCAUAACUCUUCUCUGCAAGUUAAGAAUGGAUGUCUUGACAUUUGAACAGUAAUACCACGGCUAACGCUGAAAACACGUACAAGGUUGAAGCUAGAAUCUUUCCUGGUUUGGCGUGCACCAAAUUGGAAACCUUCAUCGACCACAUCCUGCAACACCGAGGACCCAAUCACAGCUCCACCAUGUAGCAAACAGAACAAGAGAAAAGGUCUAUUUGAGAAAAGAAUAUCUUAUCCAUAUUUCCUCUGCUCACAGAACAUUCGUUACUAUCACAGAUUCGCAAGAACAAGCUCACACACACCAAAUACAGAAGAAAGUCAUUUUGGGAAAACACAACACCCAGGCUGACACCGAAGGACUGCUGCUUGGCGUGCCUGGCUUUCUGGUGGACCCGCUGAUGGCGAACCAGGCUGUGCUUCAGGGUGAAGGUCCGCUCGCACGUCUGACAUUUGUAUGGCCUUUCUCCUGGAGCAACAGGAGAAAAGAAGUCACGUCAAUGAUUCUUCUCUGGAAAUAGAUAACGAAAUGACCCGCGAGGCAGCAGAGUUCACCGUCCUCUCACGCUGAAAGAAGUGCCAAGUAUGUGCGACUCUGCUAUCCUUAUCGCGCGGUGGCAGGCCCCAGCAAGCGAGGUCCUGCUGUGCGUCCACCUCUCCUAUCUCCGCUGCUACCUCGGCCGCGUCUCACCAUCAAGACUCCUGUCAUCAUUCAAUUAAAUUUAGAAUGCUGGGUUCCCAUGAGCCACUCAAAACACAAAGCUCCUUCUGGGGGAACGGUGCUGAGGUCACCAACCGUGAGACGCUCUAGGGCCCCCACAGUACGGCUACGUCUCCCUCCCUGGCCAUCCCUUGCACGCAGCCCACGUUCCGGGGGGAUGGCCCCCCAACCACAGGGAACCCUGCCCAAAACACUCAGAGUGCUAAGUCCUAGGCUGUGAGAAAGUUAAGCAGGGAAGCAGUGUGUCUGUGGCUCCUCAGGCGAGGCUCUCCUUCUGUCCAGAACACGCUCAAGUUCCAAGCUGCAUGUGUGGAGGGGCCGUGACCUCGAUGCCCCAUGGCAACUCUGUCCUUUCCUGUUGCUCUGGAAACGUUUUUCUCUUCUAUGGAAACGUUUUUCUCUUCUAUCAUGGGGACUUCAGUCCCCCCAGACCCAAGUUCAAUUGCACACUCCUCGUAGUCCCCAACCCAUCCCCAUGCCAGCAGUCAGCUGAACACUCUGUACUGACCUGAAGGGACGAGAGAAAUGCCUGAAUUCAGGAAAUUUAGCGCUGAUCAGAUACAUAUGAUAGUAAGAAAUCCCUGUUACUUUUUGAAGUUGUGACAAUAUUUUGGUUACGUCUUUUUUUUUAAACAUCCCUUUCCUUUAGAGGUAAUGUAAUGAAAUACUGUUAUGUGAAAUGUGAUGCCUGGGAUUUGUUUUGAAAUGAUCUGGGAUGGGGGAAGAGGCGAAACACGAUGGGCUGAUGGGCCGUGAGUUGGUAAUUCCUGAAAAUGGGGGGAGGGUGCGUGAGAGGGUCAUGACACUGUGCUCUCUACUUGUGCAUAUGUUUGAAAUGUUCCUGAUACACUUAAAAGAGAGAAACAUCUAAUUACAAA